rnacentral:rRNA from 1 species
GAAAGUAAGCAAGGGCAGACGGUGGAUGCCUUGGCUCUCGGAGGCGACGAAGGACGUGAUAAGCUGCGAAAAGCCCGGGGGAGGCGCAAAUAGCCGUUGAUCCCGGGAUAUCCGAAUGGGGCAACCCGGCAGGCUGAAGGCCUGCCAUCCCGUAAGGGAGGCGAACGUGGGGAACUGAAACAUCUAAGUACCCAUAGGAGGAGAAAAUAAACAAUGAUUCCGUAAGUAGUGGCGAGCGAACACGGAAGAGCCCAAACCCAUGUCGUCUAGGCGACACGGGGGUUGUAGGACCACGACGUGGCAAGAGGAUGGCAAGUGGAACGCCUUGGAAAGGGCGACCGUAGAGGGUGAUAGUCCCGUACACGACUGCCUGCCGAAGCCUAGUGGCAUCCUGAGUAGCGCGGGGCACGAGAAAUCUUGCGUGAAACAGCGGGGCCCAUCCCGUAAGGCUAAAUACUCCCGAGAGACCGAUAGCGAACCAGUACCGUGAGGGAAAGGUGAAAAGAACCCCGAGCAGGGGAGUGAAAUAGACCCUGAACCCGUCUGCCUACAAGCGGUCGGAGCGUCGUAAUGACGUGACGGCGUGCCUUUUGCAUAAUGAACCUACGAGUUACCUUCCCCGGCAAGGUUAAGUACCUAAGGUACGGAGCCGAAGCGAAAGCGAGUCUGAAGAGGGCGGCCAGUCGGGGGGGGUAGACGCGAAACCGAGUGAUCUACCCUUGGCCAGGUUGAAGGUUGGGUAACACCAACUGGAGGACCGGAUGGGUAAGCGUUGAAAAGCUUUCCAAUGAGCUGAGGGUAGGGGUGAAAGGCUAAUCAAACUCGGAGAUAGCUCGUACUCCCCGAAAUGCAUUUAGGUGCAGCCUCUUUAUAGUAUAUCGUGAGGUAGAGCGACUGAUUGGAUGCGAGGGCUUCACCGCCUAUCAAGUCCAGAUAAACUCCGAAUGCGCGAUAUAUAUUUACAGGGAGUGAGGGCGCGGGUGCUAAGGUCCGUGUCCGAGAGGAGAAGAAUCCAGACCACCGGCUAAGGCCCCCAAAUGAUCGUUAAGUUGAACUAACGAGGUCGGAUCGCAGAGACAGCUAGGAUGUUGGCUUGGAAGCAGCCAUUCAUUUAAAGAGUGCGUAACAGCUCACUAGUCGAGCGAUCUGGCGUGGAUAAUAAUCGGGCAUAAACGAUCUGCCGAAGCCGUGGAUGUCGCAAGACAUGGUAGGGGAGCAUUCCAUGCGGCGUCGAAGAUGAGGGAUGACCCUUGUUGGAGCGCAUGGAAAAGCAAAUGUAGGUAUGAGUAACGAUAAGGGGGGCGAGAAACCCCCCCGCCGAAAGACCAAGGUUUCCUGAUCAACGCUAAUCGGAUCAGGGUGAGUCGGGACCUAAGGCAAAGCCGAACGGCGCCGCCGAUGGAAGAAUGGGUUAAUAUUCCCAUACUGCCUCAUGGAGUGACGUGGAGACGGAGAAGUGACAGUCCUGCCGGCUGACGGAAUAGCCGGUUGAAGGGUGUAGAUAUUGAUUCCCGUAGGCAAAUCCGCGGGGAGAGUCGAACCUGACAGUAUACCGAGUACUUGUACGAGGUAAUAUGGACGUAACCAUGCUCCCAAGAAAAUCCGCUAAACUUAUCCAUGCGGCACCCGUACCGUAAACGGACACACGUGGUCGGGUUGAGAAUACUGAGGCGCUCGAGUGAUUCACGGUUAAGGAACUAGGCAAAUUGACCCUGUAACUUCGGGAUAAAGGGUCCUCGUCGUAAGGCGAGGCGCAGAGAAUAGGUCCAGGCAACUGUUUAACAAAAACACAUGGCUGUGCUAAAUGGAAACAUGACGUAUACAGCCUGACACCUGCCCGGUGCUGGAAGGUUAAGAGGAGAUGUCAUCGCAAGAGAAGCGUUGAAUUGAAGCCCCAGUAAACGGCGGCCGUAACUAUAACGGUCCUAAGGUAGCGAAAUUCCUUGUC